rnacentral:rRNA from 1 species
UACGUAGGGUGCAAGCGUUGUCCGGAAUUAUUGGGCGUAAAGAGCUCGUAGGCGGUCUGUCGCGUCGGAUGUGAAAAUCCAGGGCUCAACCCUGGACCUGCAUUCGAUACGGGCAGACUAGAGUUCGGUAGGGGAGACUGGAAUUCCUGGUGUAGCGGUGAAAUGCGCAGAUAUCAGGAGGAACACCCGUAGCGAAGGCGGCACUCUGGGCCGAUACUGACACUGAGGAGCGAAAGCGUGGGGAGCGAACAGG